rnacentral:tRNA from 2 species
GGUAAAAUGACCGAGAUAUAGGUGUUAGACUGUAAAUCUAAAAACAGAGAUAGAACUCUUUUUACCA